rnacentral:rRNA from 1 species
GACGAACGCUGGCGGCGUGCUUAACACAUGCAAGUCGAACGGAAAGGCCCUGCUUUUGUGGGGUGCUCGAGUGGCGAACGGGUGAGUAACACGUGAGUAACCUGCCCUUGACUUUGGGAUAACUUCAGGAAACUGGGGCUAAUACCGGAUAGGAGCUCCUGCUGCAUGGUGGGGGUUGGAAAGUUUCGGCGGGUGGGGAUGGACUCGCGGCUUAUCAGCUUGUUGGUGGGGUAGUGGCUUACCAAGGCUUUGACGGGUAGCCGGCCUGAGAGGGUGACCGGCGACAUUGGGACUGAGAGAGGGACCAGACGCCUACGGGAGGCAGCAGGGGGAAAUAUUGCACAGUGGGCGGAAGCCUGAUGCAGCAACGCCGCGUGCGGGAUGACGGCCUUCGGGUUGUAAACCGCUUUAGCCUGUGACGAAGCGGGAGUGACGGUAAUGGGUAAAGAAGCACCGGCUAACUACGUG